AUCAAUGUCAAGGGUCCCCCACCCCCCUUUUUAAGGCAGUCAGAUCCCAACCCAAAAAAGCUAUUAAAUGCCCUUAUAAAUAUAUACACAAAACAAACCAUUCACUAAUCUCCCUCUGCAAACUACAUGGGGGUUAGUCUUGGCGUGAUAAUAUUCAAUUUGCAUCAUUUGGGGACCACUUUUUUUUUUUACUUGGGAUUUAUUUUAUUUUUGUAUUAAUAUAAAUUUCAAUUUAGCUUUACAGUAGUGCCAAAUAUUCCCAUCUAAUACAGUAAAUUUAUAAUACCAAAUAAAAUUGAUAAUUUUGUUUUCCCUUCCUCAUAACCUCUAUUUAUAGCCCCUCUUUUCCAUCCUUCUUCUUCACCAAAAUUCAAACCCCUAGCAAAAUGUAUCAGAUUAUUAAUAGGUCUCUCUCUCUCUCUCUCUCUCUCUCUCUCUCUCUCCUUUUUACAACUAUCUUGCCCUAAAUAAUGAGUUUGUAUCUAUCUCUUUCUCUCUCUCUCAAUCGUGCACCACUACCAGUUGAAGCUGCCAGCAUGAUCUUAACCUCUCUCUCUCCUUUUCAAAUUAUAUUACGAGGGAAGAUCAGAUCAUGCGGCAGUUUCACCUGUUGCUGGUACCACGAGAAAAACCCUAAUUUCACACUUUUCCUGGCUUUAAUUUUAUUUUCUUUUGCCAAAUCCCUAGAGAAAAAGGAAAAAGUGCAGUUUCAAUGAUUUCAAGAUCGCUUCUUCUUGAUUAAGCUUUGGUCGUUGAGCCCUUCAUACUGUUGAAGCUCUGCCCGUACUCUUUUUGAUAAUUAUUUGAGUAUGCAAAUUCUUGCAUCAAUAUGUAAAUAGAUUUUUAAUAUAUUCAUAUAAUAUAAACUACUCAGCUUUAUGGCUUGUCUAGUCUAUUUAUUUUAGGGCUGGGUCUACAAUAUAAAUCUGGUUUUACAUA